rnacentral:lncRNA from 1 species
UAAUAUUAAAAUUAAGAGCGGAUUUCACUUUUAAAAAUCAUUUUUUAGUAUUCCGAGUCAAUUUAAGGGUUGAAAGGGAUAAAAAUGUUUUUUU